rnacentral:pre_miRNA from 1 species
CAAUUUCCAUCAAAACAAUACUCCCCUAAAACCUAGAACAAAAUAUGAUAUAAUUGAUUUACUUCACUAGGGUUCAGGACAAUAUUCAAUCAUGCUUGGCUCACUGCAGGACAAUGCUAGUCAUUCUCUCACAUGAUUGAAUAUUAUCCUGAACCCUAGCGAAGUAAAUCAAUUGUAUCAUAUCUUGUUCUAGGUUUUAGGAAAGCAUUGUCUUGAUGGAAAUUG